UACCAGCUCUCCGAGUGGUAGGGAUGAUUAUUGGGCUUAAAGCGUCCGUAGCCGGCUUAGCAAGUCUCCUGUUAAAUUCUGCGACCUAAUCGUUGAGCCGCGGGAGACACUACUAGGCUAGGAGGCGGGAGAGGCCGACGGUAUUCUCGGGGUAGGGGUGAAAUCCUAUAAUCCCGGGAGGACCACUAGUGGCGAAGGCUGUUGACUAGAACGCGCUCGACGGUGAGGGACGAAAGCUGGGGGAGCGAACCGGAUUAGAUACCCGGGUAGUCCCAGCUGUAAACGAUGCGAGCUAGGUGUUGGGAUGGCUACGUGCCAUUUCAGUGCCGCAGGGAAGCCAUUAAGCUCGCCGCCUGGGGAGUACGGCCGCAAGGCUGAAACUUAAAGGAAUUGGCGGGGAGCACCACAAGGCGUGAAGCUUGCGGUUC
rnacentral:rRNA from 1 species